rnacentral:rRNA from 1 species
AUUGAACGCUGGCGGCAUGCCUUACACAUGCAAGUCGAACGGCAGCACGGACUUCGGUCUGGUGGCGAGUGGCGAACGGGUGAGUAAUGUAUCGGAACGUACCUUUCAGUGGGGGAUAACGUAGCGAAAGUUACGCUAAUACCGCAUAUUCUGUGAGCAGGAAAGCAGGGGAUCGCAAGACCUUGCGCUGAUUGAGCGGCCGAUAUCAGAUUAGCUAGUUGGUGAGGUAAAGGCUCACCAAGGCGACGAUCUGUAGCGGGUCUGAGAGGAUGAUCCGCCACACUGGAACUGAGACACGGUCCAGACUCCUACGGGAGGCAGCAGUGGGGAAUUUUGGACAAUGGGGGCGAAACCCUGAUCCAGCCAUGCCGCGUGAGUGAAGAAGGCCU